GCUGGAUGAUGGGCGGAAAGCAUCAAAAUCUCAAUGAAUUAAGGUAAUAAAAGUAAUGUGCACCUCCUUGGUGUAUUUAGGUGUCACUAAAUGAUUGUUUAGCAGUGUCAGGGUCUGUCAGUACUUUUCUAAAUCAUAAAUAUUUGUUGGACAGGAUACCUUAAAUACCAGGGUGUGGCAGAGCCAGGGAGUGUCUUCGACAUGCUCCUUUAUUUAGACCCUCACAGACUGCCUUCUCUUCACUGUGUGGACUCAUCUUUCGAAUCCAGAUCCUCUACACUCUAAAAAUGUGCAGUAUUCCUUCCUUAACUGGUUUGGAAACGGCUGUGGCCGCCAUGUUCGGUGUCUUCAUUUCACAUCAAGGGACAAAUGGAAAACUGACCAAAGCAGAGUUUUUAAAUGUACUGAAGGAGGAACUGCCUGCUUUUGAAAAGGGAGACUGUGGAGAAGAGAUAUUCGCCUGUGUGGACCUGGACGAGGAUGGGUUUGUGGACUUCAAAGAGUUUGCCCUACUGGUUGCCUCAUAUGCCUGGGGUAGCUUUGACAUGCUCCAAGAGGCCCUCAAAGCUAUGGAAGAGAAAGCAUCAAAAUAGCCUGUAAUGAAUGUGUAAAACACUAUCGACGGGACAUGAACAUCUGACCUAUGUGGUUUCAUAUCACAAUAAUAAAAGUGAUUUUGUUCCAA